rnacentral:rRNA from 1 species
CUCAGUUCACGGCCGCGGUAUCUAACCGUGCGAAGGUAGCGCAAUCAAUUGUCUCAUAAAUCGAGACUUGUAUGAACGGCUCAACGAGGUCCCGACUGUCUCCUACGGACAAUCAGUGAAAUUGAUCCCCUCGUGCAAAAGCGAGGAUACUAACAUAAGACGAGAAGACCCUGUGGAACUUCAAAAUCAACGACCACACCAUACGACCAACAAACCUACCAGGCUCACCAUUCAACCCCCUCACUGGUCCGUAUUUUUCGGCUGGGGCGGCCCUGGAGAAAAACAAACCCUCCAGAAACAAGACCUAACCUCUUAACCAAGAACUACCCCUCAACGUGCCAACAGCCACCAGACCCAGUAUAACUGAUCAAUGGACCAAGCUACCCCAGGGAUAACAGCGCAAUCCCCUCCAAGAGCCCAUAUCGACAAGGGGGUUUACGA